rnacentral:rRNA from 1 species
GUUGGGCACUCUAGCGAGACUGCGGUAAUAACCGGAGGAAGUGGGAUGACGUCAAAUCAUCAUGCCCCUUAUGACCUGGGCUACACACGUGCUACAAUGGUUGGUACAACGAGUUGCGAGUCGGUGACGGCGAGCUAAUCUCUUAAAGCCAAUCUCAGUUCGGAUUGUAGGCUGCAACUCGCCUACAUGAAGUCGGAAUCGCUAGUAAUCGCGGAUCAGCACGCCGCGGUGAAUACGUUCCCGGGCCUU